rnacentral:rRNA from 1 species
GGACGAACGCUGGCGGCGCGCUUAACACAUGCAAGUCGAGCGAUGAAACCUUAACAGAACCCUUCGGGGCGAAGAUAAGGUGGAUUAGCGGCGGACGGGUGAGUAACACGUGAGUAACCUGCCUUAGACAUAGGGAUAGCCUCGGGAAACCGGGAUUAAUACCAAAUGAAAUCACAUAUGCACAUGCAUAAAUGAUCAAAGCUCCGGCGGUCUAAGAUGGACUCGCGUCCCAUUAGCUAGUUGGUGAGGUAACGGCCCACCAAGGCGACGAUGGGUAGCCGGCCUGAGAGGGUGAACGGCCACAUUGGAACUGAGAAACGGUCCAAACUCCUACGGGAGGCAGCAGUGGGGAAUAUUGCACAAUGGAGGGAACUCUGAUGCAGCGACGCCGCGUGAACGAAGAAGGCUUUCGAGUCGUAAAGUUCUUUUAUAUGGGAAGAUAAUGACGGUACCAUAAGAAAAAGCCCCGGCUAACUACGU